rnacentral:rRNA from 1 species
GACAGAGGGUGCGAACGUUGUUCGGAAUUACUGGGCGUACAGCGCGUGUAGGCGGCAGCGCAAGUCGGGCGUGAAAUCCCACGGCUCAACCGUGGAAGUGCACUCGAAACUGCGCAGCUAGAGUCCUGGAGAGGAAGGUGGAAUGCUUGGUGUAGAGGUGAAAUUCGUAGAUAUCAAGCGGAACACCGGUGGCGAAGGCGGCCUUUUGGACAGUGACUGACGCUGAGAUGCGAAAGCGUGGGGAGCAAACAGG